rnacentral:rRNA from 1 species
AUACGUAGGGUGCGAGUGUUGUCCGGAAUUACUGGGCGUAAAGAGCUCGUAGGUGGUUUGUCGCGUCGUCUGUGAAAUUCCGGGGCUUAACUCCGGGCGUGCAGGCGAUACGGGCAUAACUUGAGUACUGUAGGGGAGACUGGAAUUCCUGGUGUAGCGGUGAAAUGCGCAGAUAUCAGGAGGAACACCGGUGGCGAAGGGGGGUCUCUGGGCAGUAACUGACGCUGAGGAGCGAAAGCAUGGGUAGCGAACAGGAUUAGAUACCCUGGUAGUCCAUGCCGUAAACGGUGGGCGCUAGGUGUAGGGGUCUUCCACGACUUCUGUGCCGUAGCUAACGCAUUAAGCGCCCCGCCUGGGGAGUACGGCCGCAAGGCUAAAACUCAAAGGAAUUGACGGGG